rnacentral:rRNA from 1 species
AUGAUAACCCAUCACCCAUCCCUGCUCCGCCUCCGCGCACCCCUCCCCGCCGGCCUCCGCCACGGGACUUCACACGCCUUGCUUUUCACCGCCGCCGCCUACUCUCCUCCGCCGCCGCCCCUCCGCCUGCUACCUCUGCGCGUCGCCGCUGGAGGAGCCUCACCGGUAGGUCCUGAUGGCGGCAAUCGCGCGACGCCUCCCCCGCUGGGAGCCGCGGCGCUGGACUUCGCGCGGAGCAACUUCCUCCCGCUAGCUCUAAUUGGUGGGAUGACUUUGGGACUCCUGGAUCCAACUCUUGGUUGCCUUGCUCACAAAUAUUCCCUGUCAAAAUAUAGCACUUUUGGGAUAUUCGUUAUAUCAGGGCUGACUCUGCGCACUAAGGAGCUUGGCGCAGCGUUACAAGCUUGGCCUGCUGGACUCUUUGGACUAGGCUCAAUUCUGUUGUUCACACCUUUUCUUGCACAAUUUCUUGUGCAAAUUCAGUUCUUCCCUCGUGAAUUUAUCACUGGGUUGGCUAUGUUUUGUUGCAUGCCGACAACAUUAUCAAGUGGAGUCACACUAACACAGCUUGCUGGCGGCAACUCCGCACUUGCUCUUGCAAUGACAGUCAUAUCCAAUCUACUGGGCAUUAUGUUUGUACCUUUGUCUCUUGCAAAAUACAUUGGCACUGGAGCAGGAGUGUCUUUGCCUACUAAGGAAUUAUUCAGAAGUCUGGUUAACACUCUUUUAAUCCCCCUUAUUUUAGGCAAGGUUGCCCGAGAAACCUCAAAAGGUAUUGCUGAAUUUGUUGAUGGAAAUCGCCAGGGCUUUUCAGUUUUAAGUGCUGUUCUUCUCAGCCUAGUCCCAUGGAUACAAGUAAGUAGAUCAAGAUCUCUGCUAUUGUCCGUUAAACCAAAAGCUUUCGCUAUUAUUGUGACUAUUGGAGUGCUUCUACAUCUUGCUCUGCUGGCAUUCAAUGCUACAACACUGCAGGUCUUGUCAUGUCUUAAACAGAAGGAAGAGUCAGUCUUUGCGAGAAAAGAGUAUGCACGAGCUGUCAUUUUGGUGGCCAGUCAGAAAACAUUGCCAGUGCUGGUUGCUGUGGUUGAGCAGCUUGGAGGUGCUCUUGGGGAGUCCGGACUUCUGGUCAUCCCAUGUGUUGCUGCGCACAUUAAUCAGAUCAUUAUCGAUUCUAUCCUAGUAAAUUGGUGGCGCAAAAGAGAUCAACGAUCUACUAAUGCAAAAUAG